GGUCAGCGGAUGGGCAUGAGAGGGUGGAGUACGGAGGGUGGAGAGGUGGUAAGGGAUUCUUGGGGGUAAAGGUAUGGUCUGGUGCUUGGCACGGCUGCUGAGAAGACGAGGGGCUCAACGCCGAGCGGGCAGGGGAGACGGGCGAGAUAGAGGGCGGGUUGGUGGACUGGAAUUCCUGGUGUAGCGGUGAAAGGCGCAGAUAUCAGGAGGAACACCGGUGGCGAAGGCGGGUCUCUGGACCGAUACUGACGCUGAGGAGCGAAAGCGUGGGGAGCGAACAGGAUUAGAUACCCAGUAGUC
rnacentral:rRNA from 1 species